GUCUGCGGCCACCCCGCCCUGACCGCGCCGGAUCCCAUCUGCCCUCCGAAGCUAAGCAGGGUCGGGCCCGGUCAGUAUUUGGAUGGGAGACCGCCUGGCCUGCGAACAAACACCAGGGAAACCCAACCA
rnacentral:rRNA from 1 species